AGUCGAGCGGUAGAGAGAAGCUUGCUUCUCUUGAGAGCGGCGGACGGGUGAGUAAUGCCUAGGAAUCUGCCUGGUAGUGGGGGAUAACGUUCGGAAACGGGCGCUAAUACCGCAUACGUCCUACGGGAGAAAGCAGGGGACCUUCGGGCCUUGCGCUAUCAGAUGAGCCUAGGUCGGAUUAGCUAGUUGGUGAGGUAAUGGCUCACCAAGGCGACGAUCCGUAACUGGUCUGAGAGGAUGAUCAGUCACACUGGAACUGAGACACGGUCCAGACUCCUACGGGAGGCAGCAGUGGGGAAUAUUGGACAAUGGGCGAAAGCCUGAUCCAGCCAUGCCGCGUGUGUGAAGAAGGUCUUCGGAUUGUAAAGCACUUUAAGUUGGGAGGAAGGGUUGUAGAUUAAUACUCUGCAAUUUUGACGUUACCGACAGAAUAAGCACCGGCUAACUCUGUGCCAGCAGCCGCGGUAAUACAGAGGGUGCAAGCGUUAAUCGGAAUUACUGGGCGUAAAGCGCGCGUAGGUGGUUUGUUAAGUUGGAUGUGAAAUCCCCGGGCUCAACCUGGGAACUGCAUUCAAAACUGACUGACUAGAGUAUGGUAGAGGGUGGGUGGGAAUUUCCUGUGUA
rnacentral:rRNA from 1 species